rnacentral:rRNA from 1 species
UACGUAGGGUGCGAGCGUUAAUCGGAAUUACUGGGCGUAAAGCGUGCGCAGGCGGUGAUGUAAGACAGUUGUGAAAUCCCCGGGCUCAACCUGGGAAUGGCGAUGGAAACUGGCGAGCUAGAGUACGGUAGAGGAGAGUGGAAUUCCCGGUGUAGCAGUGAAAUGCGUAGAUAUGCGGAGGAACACCGACGGCGAAGGCAAUCCCCUGGACCUGUACUGACGCUCAUGCACGAAAGCGUGGGGAGCAAACAGG